GCGGGCUUAGCUCAGCUGGGAGAGCGUCAGACUGAAGUAACACUUCAUUCUUCUCUUGAUUCAAGAGAGAUAUCUGAAGGCCGUGUGUUCGAUCCACACAGACCGCA